rnacentral:rRNA from 1 species
UACGGAGGGGGCUAGCGUUGUUCGGAAUCAUUGGGCGUAGAGGGCGCGUAGGCGGCUGGCCAAGUCGGGUGUGAAAUCCCUCGGCUCAACCGAGGAACUGCACUCGAUACUGGCUGGCUAGAGUCCGGGAGGGGAUGGUGGAAUUCCCAGUGUAGCGGUGAAAUGCGUAGAUAUUGGGAAGAACACCGGUGGCGAAGGCGGCCAUCUGGACCGGAACUGACGCUGAGGCGCGAAAGCCAGGGGAGCGAACAGG